GACUUUUACCGGUGGAUCACUCGGCUUCUGCGUUGAGGAAGAAUGCAUCUAGCUGUGAGAAUUAAUGUGAAUUGCAGGACAAAUUGAACAUGGACACUUCGAAUGCACUUGGGGCCUGGGUUCCUCCUAGGGCUAUGCCUGUCUGAGCAUCG
rnacentral:rRNA from 1 species